UACGAAGGGUGCAAGCGUUGUUCGGAAUUACUGGGCGUAAAGGGUUUGUAGGCUGAAAUGUAAGUCAAGUGUGAAAUCCCCGAGCUAAACUUGGGACGUGCAUUUGAAACUGUGUUUCUUGAGUAUCGUAGAGGGUGGUGGAAUUGUAGGUGUAGGAGUGACAUCCGUAGAGAUCUACAGGAACAUCAGAGGCGAAGGCGACCACCUGGCCGAUUACUGACGCUGAGGAACGAAAGCGUGGGGAGCAAACAGG
rnacentral:rRNA from 1 species